CGGAAGUGUGGCCGAGCGGUUGAAGGCACCGGUCUUGAAAACCGGCGACCCGAAAGGGUUCCAGAGUUCGAAUCUCUGCGCUUCCGCC
rnacentral:tRNA from 1 species